rnacentral:rRNA from 1 species
CGGGGUGCAGCAGGCGCGAAACCUCUGCAAUAGGCGAAAGCUUGACAGGGUUACUCUGAGUGAUGUCCGCUAAGGGCAUCUUUUGGCACUUCUAAAAAUAGUGUAGAAUAAGGGGUGGGCAAGUCUGGUGUCAGCCGCCGCGGUAAUACCAGCACCCCGAGUGGUCGGGACGAUUAUUGGGCCUAAAGCAUCCGUAGCCGGUUCUGCAAGUCUUCCGUUAAAUCCACCUGCUCAACAGAUGGGCUGCGGAGGAUACUACAGGGCUAGGAGGCGGGAGAGGCAAGCGGUACUCAGUGGGUAGGGGUAAAAUCCUCUGAUCCACUGAAGACCACCAGUGGCGAAGGCGGCUUGCCAGAACGCGCUCGACGGUGAGGGAUGAAAGCUGGGGGAGCAAACCGGAUUAGAUACCCGGGUAGUCCCAGCUGUAAACGAUGCAGACUCGGUGAUGGGUUGGCUUCGAGCCAACCCAGUGCCGCAGGGAAGCCGUUAAGUCUGCCGCCUGGGGAGUACGGUCGCAAGAGGGAAACUUAAAGGAA